rnacentral:lncRNA from 1 species
UUUAGUGACCAUCUCGAUCCUGGGGUCCAGUUACUUCUCAGCGACCACACGUAACAGUAACGAAAGUCUUGAGUCAAUGAGCAAGGAGGAAGCAUGCGGAGAUGGACCACUCGGACAAAAUUAUUAAAGCUUUUGUCUGGCUUUUGGCAGCUUCAAAAGCUAGUAUAUAUAUUCCAUUCGCCAGUCAGAGAAGAUGGGCCGCUUGCGUGGUCUUUUCAGGGCAUGGAGGUAUGUUUUCUAACUCAACAGUUGUUUUGUAUCUUUUUCUUUAAUCACCAUAUUUUAUUCUAGUUUCCCUCAUAUUUUCUUCUGAGAAAAAGUUUCUCUAAUAUUUUAAAAUGCACCUUUUUUUCGAAAGGCAAUCAUGGAAAGGCCCUGAAAGUUACUUCAGCAUGGAAAGUGUGGAAGAUACUGGUUGAAUUUUCUUUAUUUUUUUCCUGGCACAUGGUGACCCUUUGAGAUGGCAUCUGUAAGGAGUGAUUUUGCUAGCGUUGCAUAGUCUGAAUUUCUUGCCUUUAAAGUUGGGAUUCUUCCAAGUUGCAGACAUCUUCACACUUGCGGCAAGAAGUCACCAAGGUUGAAAAUGAUCCAACUUCGACCAAUGUUAGCCCUUUCUUCUUUCACAGAAUUACUUUGACCAAGAAUAUGUUUGAAUAACUACAAAAUCAUGACGUGUUGGGAUAUGUUAGAAAAUUAUGAUAUUUGAAAUAUUUUAAAAUUAUUAAUCUUGUUUUUUUUUUUUUGUUAAUGUGGAUGGUUGGGUGCAUGGUGCAAUGAA